rnacentral:rRNA from 1 species
UUACUGGGCGUAAAGCGUACGCAGGCGGUUAGUUAAGUCAGAUGUGAAAGCCCCGGGCUCAACCUGGGAACUGCAUUUGAAACUGGCUAACUAGAGUGCGGCAGAGGGUGGUAGAAUUUCAGGUGUAGCGGUGAAAUGCGUAGAGAUCUGAAGGAAUACCGAUGGCGAAGGCAGCCACCUGGGCCGACACUGACGCUCAUGUACGAAAGCGUGGGUAGCAAACAGGAUUAGAUACCCUGGUAGUCCACGCCGUAAACGAUGUCUACUAGCAGCUCGCCUCGUUAGAGGGGUUUUGCGCAGCUAACGCGUUAAGUAGACCGCCUGGGGAGUACGGCCGCAAGGUUAAAACUCAAAUGAAUUGACGGGGGCCCGCACAAGCGGUGGAGCAUGUGGUUUAAUUCGAUGCAACGCGAAGAACCUUACCAUCCCUUGACAUCCAGAGAAUUUUCUAGAGAUAGAUUAGUGCCUUCGGGAACUCUGAGACAGGUGCUGCAUGGCUGUCGUCAGCUCGUGUUGUGAAAUGUUGGGUUAAGUCCCGCACGAGCGCACCCUUAUCCUUAGUUGCUAGCAGUUAGGCUGAGAACUCUAAGGAGACUGCCGGUGACAAACCGGAGGAAGGUGGGGACGACGUCAAGUCAUCAUGGCCCUUACGGGAUGGGCUACACACGUGCUACAAUGGCAAGUACAAAGGGUUGCAAACUCGCGAGAGUAAGCGGAUCCCAUAAAGCUUGUCGUAGUCCGGAUUGGAGUCUGCAACUCGACUCCAUGAAGUCGGAAUCGCUAGUAAUCGUAGAUCAGAAUGCUACGGUGAAUACGUUCCCGGGCCUUGUACACACCGCCCGU